GAGAAUAUAGCUCAGUUGGUUAGAGCAUCUGCCUUUUAAGCAGAGGGUCGAAGGUUCGAGUCCUUCUAUUCUCA
rnacentral:tRNA from 1 species